rnacentral:rRNA from 1 species
CCGCGGUAAUACGUAGGGUGCAAGCGUUAAUCGGAAUUACUGGGCGUAAAGCGUGCGCAGGUGGUUUUGUAAGUCAGAUGUGAAAUCCCCGGGCUUAACCUGGGAACUGCGUUUGAAACUGCAAGGCUAGAGUGUGGCAGAGGGGGGUGGAAUUCCGCGUGUAGCAGUGAAAUGCGUAGAUAUGUGGAGGAACACCGAUGGCGAAGGCAGCCCCCUGGGUCAGCACUGACGCUCAGGCACGAAAGCAUGGGGAGCAAACAGGAUUAGAUACCCUGGUAGUCCAUGCCCUAAACGAUGUCAACUAGUUGUCGGGUCUUAACGGGCUUGGUAACGUAGCUAACGCGUGAAGUUGACCGCCUGGGGAGUACGAUCGCAAGAUUAAAACUCAAAGGAAUUGACGGGGACCCGCACAAGCGGUGGAUUAUGUGGAUUAAUUCGAUGCAACGCGAAAAACCUUACCUACCCUUGACAUGUAUCGAAGCCCGCAGAGAUGUGGGUGUGCCCGAAAGGGAACGAUAACACAGGUGCUGCAUGGCUGUCGUCAGCUCGUGUCGUGAGAUGUUGGGUUAAGUCCCGCAACGAGCGCAACCCUUGUCAUUAAUUGCCAUCAUUUAGUUGGGCACUUUAAUGAGACUGCCGGUGACAAACCGGAGGAAGGUGGGGAUGACGUCAAGUCCUCAUGGCCCUUAUGGGUAGGGCUUCACACGUAAUACAAUGGCGCGUACAGAGGGUUGCCAACCCGCGAGGGGGAGCCAAUCUCAGAAAGCGUGUCGUAGUCCGGAUCGGAGUCUGCAACUCGACUCCGUGAAGUCGGAAUCGCUAGUAAUCGCGGAUCAGCAUGUCGCGGUGAAUACGUUCCCGGGUCUUGCACACACCGCCCGUC